rnacentral:rRNA from 1 species
GGAUACCUACGGGACGCAGCAGUGAGGAAUAUUGGUCAAUGGGCGGAAGCCUGAACCAGCCAAGUCGCGUGAGGGAAUAAGGCCCUACGGGUCGUAAACCUCUUUUGCCGGGGAGCAAGGGCGGGGACGUGUCCCGGCCCGGAGAGUACCCGGAGAAAAAGCAUCGGCUAACUCCGUGCCAGCAGCCGCGGUAAUACGGAGGAUGCGAGCGUUAUCCGGAUUUAUUGGGUUUAAAGGGUGCGUAGGCGGGCUUUUAAGUCAGCGGUAAAAAUUUGGGGCCCAACCCCGUCCGGCCGUUG